CCCAAGAACACGGACGCCAUCCCUCUUGUAAUUACGCCUGGAGCUUCCAGUGGAGACUCCGGCAAUGAUCUCGCAAUUGGGAUCUGGAAGGUCAACUCUUUGGGAGCCCUGGCGCGAUUUUGUUCCGGGGAUUCGGCGUGUCAAAUGCGGAGGAAUUUGCUCGAGUGGUGGAAGCGUUUGGAUAUGAGAGCAUGGGUCACAGAGCUGGAGCUGCGAGGAGGAAGCACAUUGUCGGGCCUGUCUACACAAACAAUGCCCUCGACGCUGAAACCGAGCUUGGAUUUCACAAUGAAAUGAGCUACCUUGCGGAUUAUCCCGACUUGGUCGUGUUUUUCUGCGAGGUUGCUCCACCGCCAAGCGCCGGCGGUGCCACCGGGAUCGUCCAAGGCAAAGCCACCAUUUUGUGACUUGCCUCUGAAGAAAAUGUCGCCAGUCAAGGUCGUGGUCUAAGGAUAUUGGACACAUAUUUACACGCGACAAUGGGAAUCUAAGCUUGCUAUGCUGGCUCUCGGAGCAAAGAGGACUUUGGAGCCAGAGGACUUGCCCGGCAGCCCACGGGUUUUUUUCACGAAAGUUCAAAGCAAGCUUCCGAGCCUCUCGCCUUCUUUGA